rnacentral:tRNA from 1 species
UCCCUUGUGGCUCAGAUGGUAAAGAACCCGCCUGCAAUGCGGGAGACCUGGGUUCAAUCCCCAGGUUGGGAA